AUGCUGAAAGCUGGGUACCGAAAGAGAUCUUUCUACGGUGGACCAGACUACAAAUGUACCAACUGUGGUGCAAUCUUCUGGUUCGAGGAGAGGGUGAGAUCGGAAUCCGCUAUUACGCUGAGGCGGGUGAUUUACAACAAAUGUUGUAAGAGUGGUAAGGUGUAUAUUACACCUUUUAAAAAGCCACCUUUGUUUCUCUCUGAGUUGCUGAGAUACAAUGGUCCCUCGCGUAGCAGAGAGUUUAUAAAAAAAAUUCGCCAGUACAACUGCCUCUUUGCAUUUACUUCCAUGGGAACUACUGUUGAUCGUUCUGUAAAUGAUGGUAAUGGUCCGAAUAUAUACAAAAUAAAUGGGCAGGUUUGUCAUCGAAUGGGAUCUCUUAUGCCUAAGGAAGGAAAUACCCCUAAGUACGCCGAACUCUAUAUAUAUGAUACCCAGAAUGAGGUGCAAAACAUGAUUCAGGCUUUAGAAAAGGGUGAAAAGAGUGAUGGUGGUUUAGAUGAAUCUAUUGUUGAAGGCUUGAUGCAUAUGUUUGAUACGCACAAUUCUUAUGUCAAAACGUUUAGAUCAGCUAGAGAAAUACUAGCAGCCAAUAAGCAUGCCGAGAUAGCCAUUCGUUUAGUUGCCCCUAGAGAAUCUGAUGGCCCACAGUUUAGCCUCCCUACAACUGAUGAGUUAGCAUCUUUAAUGAUUGGUGAGUUCACGGUGGAGACUUCUUGUCGUGACAUAAUAAUACAUGGUAGAGAUGACAAUCUACAACAAAUAUCUUCUUUGCAAACUUCAUAUAUGCCUUUGCAGUAUCCUCUUCUCUUUCCCUAUGCAGAACAUGGGUUUCAGCUCAGGCUUAAAUAUAUUGGUUCAAAUCCUUUAGAUACUAGCAAAAGAACCAGGCUCACUAUGCAGGACUAUUAUUCCUAUUGUCUCCACUAUAGACCAGAGCAGCAUAAUCCAUACCUUUGUUGUGGUUUGCUUUCCUCACAUGUCAUUGUAGAUGCACGCGCUUGCAUAGACGAGUGGAGGCUGCAUUUCAUCAUGAAGGCUAAUAAUGAUCUUAGAGCAGAGAACUUGGAAGGAGUCACUAAUGCUGUUGGAAAAGGGCAGACAGAUGCAAGUUCCGUUGGCAAAAAAACAUACUUCCAUCCUCUUUUACCGGUGGCCGUCGUUAUAUGA
rnacentral:rRNA from 1 species